rnacentral:misc_RNA from 3 species
CAACCUUCAAGCCUGGCUUGGUGUUGGGCGCUGUCCCGCCUCCGCGCGCGGACUCGCCCCAAAUGAAUUGGCAGUCGCACCCUCCGAGCCGCGAGCGCAGCACAAGUCGCGCGGGCGGAACUCUGGGGGGACGGACGCUCCACAAGACCCUUUCUCAG